CGAUAGGUACUCUCGACAACGCCGCGAGAGUUGAGGCUGUUGAAGGUGCCGUGAUGUUGUGCGGAAGUUGUCGUGCCGUUACAGCAACCUUGCCGUAUUAUUGGAGAUUUCUGGGCCUGCUGAGGAGGAAGCCCAUAUCGCCAUGUGAGGUAAAUCCGUCAUGGCAUAGGCCUUAUCUCCGAAUGUGCAGGUUCAUUGCUCCGCAUAUACGGCCGCUGUGCAUCCCGGACCAGCAUAGGGUCGCUCUUCUGUAUCCAUAGAGCUCCGUUCGCAGUUGUGAUGCGCAUGAGGUCAGCAGCGGCACUGAGCUGGAGCAGCAGCGAGCUGUCGGCGAAUAAGCGCGACGAAUGCAGCCAGAAGCCCAGAAUAUCCGCAGGAGCAUCAGCAUCAGCAGCAGCAGCCGCUGCAACAGGGCCAGCAGCAGGGCCAGCAGUAGGGUCAGCGGUAGGGGCAAUAAAAACGACGUCAGGGGUGAUGCAGGAUUGGCGGAGGAUGUUGGCCUUGAGCGUCGUUUUCGGCUCGGUCAACAUAAUGCGAUGUCGUCCGUCUGUCGCUCAUAACUUACAUAGCAACAGGACUGGCGGAGGAUUCCUAUGCAAGGGGAACUAC
rnacentral:lncRNA from 1 species